rnacentral:rRNA from 1 species
UUGACUGGGGCGGUCGCCUCCCAAAAGGUAACGGAGGCGCUCAAAGGUUCUCUCAGUACGGUCGGAAAUCGUACGUAGAGUGUAAAGGCAAAAGAGAGCUUGAUUGCAAGACAUACAGGUCGAGCAAGGAUGAAAAUCGGACUUAGUGAUCCGGUGGUUCUGCGUGGAAGGGCCAUCGCUCAACGGAUAAAAGCUACCCUGGGGAUAACAGGCUUAUCUCCCCCAAGAGUCCACAUCGACGGGGAGGUUUGGCACCUCGAUGUCGGCUCAUCACAUCCUGGGGCUGUAGUAGGUCCCAAGGGUUGGGCUGUUCGCCCAUUAAAGUGGUACGCGGGCUGGGUUCAGAACGUCGUGAGACAGUUCGGUCCCUAUCCGUCGCAGGCGUAGGAAAUUUGAGAAGACCUGUCCUUAGUACGAGAGGACCGGGAUGGACGUACCUCUGGUGUACCAGUUGU